CCCAAAGCAAAGAAAUACCUGCAGACUGGUUUUUCAAAAUGGAAGCCGUACUGUGACAGUGCCCUUCUGAAUAUGGAAAAGUAGCGCUUCUGUUGAAGGAAAUGCAGAAAUCCCAGCCUUUGAUGGAUCUAAAAAACAGCAGCACUGACACAGCAACCUCAGAGGCAUUGGAGCAAGCUGGAAAGCUCAGAGAAAAUGUAGACCCAGAAAAGGCUGUACGGUUAUACCAACAAACAGCAAUGCAUUUAAAAAUGUGGAAUGCCUCAACAGGCAGCUGAACAGUUAGGAAAAGCCUCAGGACUGCUAGUAUAAGGAUGCAGGAUUGAUGGGACAGCACUCUCUAUUUAUAAAGAAAAAUAUUUAUAAGGAAACAGAGUUAUCCAACUAUAAGAAAAUAGUCGCUCAAGUAUUAGUUCCUCUACAUAGCAACGACUGUGCAGCUGGGAAAGCUGUGUCAGGAGAGCUCCAGCACAGCAGGAGUCCGUGCAAGUGGUGGCUGAGCUGUGCUAGAACAGCUUCCAGAAGGGUUUGCCCAGCAAGACCAAGCUACCCAUCAGAGGUCAGCAACUCUCCACUUUUCAAGUACACAGGCAACGAUUAUGCUAAACCCAGCCUGAGUUUAGUAGUUCCGGGACAGAGAAUCAAGAAGAAAUUAC
rnacentral:lncRNA from 1 species